rnacentral:rRNA from 1 species
UACAGAGGGGGCAAGCGUUAUUCGGAAUUACUGGGCGUAAAGGGCGCGUAGGCGGCCUUCUAAGUCAGACGUGAAAUCCCCCGGCUUAACCUGGGAACUGCGUCUGAUACUGGGAGGCUAGAGUAUGGGAGAGGGAUGUAGAAUUCCAGGUGUAGCGGUGAAAUGCGUAGAUAUCUGGAGGAAUACCGGUGGCGAAGGCGGCAUCCUGGACCAUUACUGACGCUGAGGCGCGAAAGCUAGGGGAGCAAACGGG